CCUACGGGAGGCAGCAGUGGGGAAUAUUGGGUAAUGGGCGCAAGCCUGACCCAGCACCGCCGCGUGAAGGAAGAAGGCUUUCGGGUUGUAAACUUCUUUUCUGAGGGACGAAGAAAGUGACGGUACCUCAGGUAUAAGCCACGGCUAAAUACGUGCCAGCCGCCGCGGUAAUACGUGGGGCGCAAGCGUUAUGCGGAUUUAUUGGGUGUAAAGGGAGUGUAGGUGGGAAAGCAAGUCAGAUGUGAAAACUCAGGGCUCAAACCUGAGCCUGCAUUUGAAACUGUUUUUCUAGAGUGCAGGAGAGGCAAGCGGAAUGCGGGGUGUAGCGGUGAAAUGCGUAGAUAUACGGAGGAACACCAGUGGCGAAGGCGGAUUGCUGGACAGUAACUGACGCUGAGGCGCGAAAGCGUGGGGAGCAAACAGGAUUAGAUACCCGAGUAGUC
rnacentral:rRNA from 1 species